AGUUAAUUAGCUUAAUAAGCAAUAGUUUUGAAAACUUUAGAAAGAAAUUAUAUUUCUAUUAACUU
rnacentral:tRNA from 1 species